rnacentral:rRNA from 1 species
UACAGAGGGGGCUAGCGUUGUUCGGAAUUACUGGGCGUAAAGAGCUCGUAGGCGGUUUGUCGCGUCUGCCGUGAAAGUCCGGGGCUCAACUCCGGAUCUGCGGUGGGUACGGGCAGACUAGAGUGAUGUAGGGGAGACUGGAAUUCCUGGUGUAGCGGUGAAAUGCGCAGAUAUCAGGAGGAACACCGGUGGCGAAGGCGGGUCUCUGGGCCGAUACUGACGCUGAGGAGCGAAAGCGUGGGGAGCGAACAGG